AUACGGAGGAUCCGAGCGUUAUCCGGAUUUAUUGGGUUUAAAGGGAGCGUAGGCGGACGCUUAAGUCAGUUGUGAAAGUUUGCGGCUCAACCGUAAAAUUGCAGUUGAUACUGGGUGUCUUGAGUACAGUAGAGGCAGGCGGAAUUCGUGGUGUAGCGGUGAAAUGCUUAGAUAUCACGAAGAACACCGAUUGCGAAAGCAGCCUGCUGGACUGUAACUGACGCUGAUGCUCGAAAGUGUGGGUAUCAAACAGGAUUAGAUACCCUGGUAGUCCACACAGUAAACGAUGAAUACUCGCUGUUUGCGAUAUACAGUAAGCGGCCAAGCGAAAGCGUUAAGUAUUCCACCUGGGGAGUACGCCGGCAACGGUGAAACUCAAAUGAAUUGACGGGG
rnacentral:rRNA from 1 species